rnacentral:lncRNA from 1 species
AGACUGUGGCGGCUUUCCAGCUCCAAUUUCAGCUUCUCCAGCCUGGAGAUGAGCUCGGCGGCGAAGGCAGCAGGUUCCACAGGCGUCAUCUCCUUGGGCAGGCGAAAAUGAAGAAAGCUGCUGCGGGCUAGUAGCAGAACACUGCUGAGCUCGGCUGCCUGAAGCCGAUCUAUCAAGGGGAAAACGGAACAUCUCCAAACCAAAAUUUUCCAUUCUUUGAUUCAGGAACUAUCAAACGUCACUCUGUUACUACCACAUCCAAAAGAACCAUUUAGUGUCCUCAGUCUGGCCAUUCCUUUCUGUUCCUUUCUGCAUUGCCCCCCACCUCUCAGCUCCUGUAAUAAUUUAGGGCCUCACUACCCGUUGUCCUGGUAUCCUGCCGUCUAUACUCACCGGAAAAUGAGGUAGAGACACUUGGCCAUUGGCCUUCACACUGCGGUGCAUCUCUCUCUGGAGCUGUUUCUUACUGCCCAUGCGGUAAGGAGGGAUUCCAUCUCU